rnacentral:rRNA from 1 species
CGAACGGGUGAGUAAUACAUCGGAACGUGUCCGUUUGUGGGGGACAACCGUCCGAAAGGAUGGCUAAUACCGCAUAAGACCUGAGGGUGAAAGCCGGGGACCGCAAGGCCCGGCGCAGACGGAGCGGCCGAUGAUUGAUUAGCUAGUUGGGGAGGUAAAGGCUCACCAAGGCGACGAUCAAUAGCUGGUCUGAGAGGACGACCAGCCACACUGGAACUGAGACACGGUCCAGACUCCUACGGGAGGCAGCAGUGGGGAAUUUUGGACAAUGGGGGCAACCCUGAUCCAGCCAUGCCGCGUGCGGGAAGAAGGCCUUCGGGUUGUAAACCGCUUUUGUCAGGGACGAAAAGCUCCGGAGUAAUAUGCCGGAGUGCUGACGGUACCUGAAGAAUAAGCACCGGCUAACUACGUGCCAGCAGCCGCGGUAAUACGUAGGGUGCAAGCGUUAAUCGGAAUUACUGGGCGUAAAGCGUGCGCAGGCGGUUGGGUAAGACAGAUGUGAAAUCCCCGGGCUUAACCUGGGAACUGCAUUUGUGACUGUCCGACUGGAGUACGUCAGAGGGGGGUGGAAUUCCACGUGUAGCAGUGAAAUGCGUAGAUAUGUGGAAGAACAC